rnacentral:rRNA from 1 species
GACGAACGCUGGCGGCGUGCCUAAUACAUGCAAGUCGAACGAACUCUGGUAUUGAUUGGUGCUUGCAUCAUGAUUUACAUUUGAGUGAGUGGCGAACUGGUGAGUAACACGUGGGAAACCUGCCCAGAAGCGGGGAUAACACCUGGAAACAGAUGCUAAUACCGCAUAACAACUUGGACCGCAUGGUCCGAGUUUGAAAGAUGGCUUCGGCUAUCACUUUUGGAUGGUCCCGCGGCGUAUUAGCUAGAUGGUGGGGUAACGGCUCACCAUGGCAAUGAUACGUAGCCGACCUGAGAGGGUAAUCGGCCACAUUGGGACUGAGACACGGCCCAAACUCCUACGGGAGGCAGCAGUAGGGAAUCUUCCACAAUGGACGAAAGUCUGAUGGAGCAACGCCGCGUGAGUGAAGAAGGGUUUCGGCUCGUAAAACUCUGUUGUUAAAGAAGAACAUAUCUGAGAGUAACUGUUCAGGUAUUGACGGUAUUUAACCAGAAAGCCACGGCUAACUACGUGCCAGCAGCCGCGGUAAUACGUAGGUGGCAAGCGUUGUCCGGAUUUAUUGGGCGUAAAGCGAGCGCAGGCGGUUUUUUAAGUCUGAUGUGAAAGCCUUCGGCUCAACCGAAGAAGUGCAUCGGAAACUGGGAAACUUGAGUGCAGAAGAGGACAGUGGAACUCCAUGUGUAGCGGUGAAAUGCGUAGAUAUAUGGAAGAACACCAGUGGCGAAGGCGGCUGUCUGGUCUGUAACUGACGCUGAGGCUCGAAAGUAUGGGUAGCAAACAGGAUUAGAUACCCUGGUAGUCCAUACCGUAAACGAUGAAUGCUAAGUGUUGGAGGGUUUCCGCCCUUCAGUGCUGCAGCUAACGCAUUAAGCAUUCCGCCUGGGGAGUACGGCCGCAAGGCUGAAACUCAAAGGAAUUGACGGGGGCCCGCACAAGCGGUGGAGCAUGUGGUUUAAUUCGAAGCUACGCGAAGAACCUUACCAGGUCUUGACAUACUAUGCAAAUCUAAGAGAUUAGACGUUCCCUUCGGGGACAUGGAUACAGGUGGUGCAUGGUUGUCGUCAGCUCGUGUCGUGAGAUGUUGGGUUAAGUCCCGCAACGAGCGCAACCCUUAUUAUCAGUUGCCAGCAUUAAGUUGGGCACUCUGGUGAGACUGCCGGUGACAAACCGGAGGAAGGUGGGGAUGACGUCAAAUCAUCAUGCCCCUUAUGACCUGGGCUACACACGUGCUACAAUGGAUGGUACAACGAGUUGCGAACUCGCGAGAGUAAGCUAAUCUCUUAAAGCCAUUCUCAGUUCGGAUUGUAGGCUGCAACUCGCCUACAUGAAGUCGGAAUCGCUAGUAAUCGCGGAUCAGCAUGCCGCGGUGAAUACGUUCCCGGGCCUUGUACACACCGCCCGUCACACCAUGAGAGUUUGUAACACCCAAAGUCGGUGGGGUAACCUUUUAGGAACCAGCCGCCUAAGGUGGGACAGAUGAUUAGGGUGAAGUCGUAACAAGGUAGCCGUAGAAUCGUCGACCUGC